UACGUAGGGUGCAAGCGUUAUCCGGAAUUAUUGGGCGUAAAGAGCUCGUAGGCGGUUUGUCGCGUCUGCUGUGAAAACUGGAGGCUCAACCUCCAGCCUGCAGUGGGUACGGGCAGACUAGAGUGCGGUAGGGGAGAUUGGAAUUCCCGGUGUAGCGGUGAAAUGCGCAGAUAUCGGGAGGAACACCGGUGGCGAAGGCGGCUCACUGGCCCGGUACUGACGCUGAGGCACGAAAGCGUGGGGAGCGAACAGG
rnacentral:rRNA from 1 species